AUUAGGAAAUGUUUAUUCAGUGCCCUGCGCGCCGGCGGGGGCCUCUGGGGAGCCGAGUCGCUCCUCGGGGAGAGGAUUCCUGUGCAGGAUUUCCCACUUGUUGGAACAACACCAACUGCAUCUCCAGCCGAAGCUUUCCUCUGUGUAUUUCACGGAGUUUGAUGAUUUUGGAGCACCUGCCGUCAGGUCUGUCCUGAAUUAAAUUCUUUCCAGGAACCUGGUGCUCCCCUCCCAGGAUGCCAGACCUUACCCCACAGCAUUUACGGCGCUGAACUGCCCUGAGGCUCCUCCCAGCCCCUCAUCCUCAGCCCUGAGCACAGAUGAGCCCCCCAGGUGUCAUCCCAGCAAUUCCUCCCCCAGCACAGGCUCUGGGUCCUGCUCCAUGGUGGAGGCAUUGGAUUUUGUGGUUAUGAGUUCAUUUCCAUCAAUAUGAAAAUGCUGUGUGAGUCCAGAGAGUUAAUCACUACUGUGGGGGAAUAAAGAGCAGAGAUUUCCUCUAAUCCCCUUUAAAUGGCCUCCAAAUGAGGACUCAACAAAGAUGACUAAUGACAGACAUGAUUAAACUAAUUCAGUAGGUGAAGCUUCAAUGGAAGCCCCAAAGCCCAGGUACAGCCUUGGGCCCUGGCUCCUCCAGCUCACUCACAGCCUCUUGGUCCUCUCAGCUGAGGAAAACAAACUCGUUAGUUUUGGUUUGUUUUGUUUUGUUUUGACCAGAGGAUUCCCUUUCUCCAUUGAAAAUAUUUUUGUCUCUUUCAGCAAACCUUUUCCUUGCUGCUGCCAAGCACCAUCUCCCUAAUGGGAUGCUAAAUCCAGUUUCAGUUAAUAACCAGCUGCAUCCUCAUCCCUCACCUGAUCUGCCCCUCAAAGGGUUCCCACUGAACACGCAUCAGUCUCUCAGCAGCCGACAAUAGCAAUGAAGGAGAAAGUCACUGGAAUUUCUCUGAGGAUCUCUGGAAUGUCUGGGGACCUUUGUGAAGGUGUCUGGGGACCUCUCUGAAGAAGGUUCCUUUCCAAGCCCAUAACAUACCAAAACCUCUGCAGAGAAAAGGGCAAAAUUGGGAGUCCCAUCCCCACAGCAUUGGGAGUGAUUAAUGGGGCACCCCUGCAGUCCAUCUUGCUUUUGUUUAAUUAUCUUUUUUGUAUCUCUCGUGCCUCCCCAGACCCCAGCAUGCAGGGAUGGUUUGAUGGAUUAUUUAUGAUACCCGGGUCAACACGUCCAAGUGUUGCUGCCUCAUGAUUUGAUGCUCUGCAGAGGCCAAUAGAGAUGCCUUGUGUUAUUAAUUAUGCCAAUACAUUUUCCUGAGCAGUGUGAUUAAUUGGGCUGUGCAGGCAGGGCCGUGGGCCUGUGCUGAGGCUGGUUGUUCUCAGGUGGAGGUGGCUGGAAGGGAGAGCAGGCAGCAAAAUCUGCACUUGGUGUCAGUCCUUCUCCUCAGAGCAUUCGGGGGAGAUACAAUUUCUGACAUUGCAUUCUGCAUGCCAGGGAGCCACGGGGCUGCAGGGAGUGCCUCUGGCUGGGCAGCUGCUCCAGGGGCAUGGGCAGUGCCAGAGGGACCACAGGAUGGCACCCAGCCCCUCGUGUUUGGCACUGCAGGGGUGGAUCACACUUACAGUGCAGAGACUGAUCUGUUCUCACUGAACUUCUGAAAGUGGAUCCACAAAGUUGUUCCUGUAACCCAGCCCAUUUUCUCCUGCAAGCUCAGAGUGCAGAGUCUGUGCUGCGCUGAGCAGUCAGGGUACAGCACCCACAGGGGCACAGGAGGGCUGGGCCCAUCCCAGGUGGGAUCCUGAUAACUACUGCCAGUCUGCAGGGUGGACACAGAGCACAGUGUGAAAAUAGUCAUAGAAAACCUUUUUUUUUGGCAGAAGCCUCCUCAGCUUGCCAAGCACAUUUCCUGUGUCAGGGCCUCAGCCUCCCUGGCAGCCUGAGCUGUGCCCCCGGUGCCACGGCCAGCAGCAGGGCCUGGGCAGGGUGUGGUGCCCAGCAUCCCCUGAGCCUGGCACACGUGGUGCUGCCUGCAGAGCCCAGCUGUGCUUGGGGAUGGUCCUGUCCCUGUCCCUGCUGCCCCCACUGCAGGGGAGCUGAGCCCUCUCUGUCUUUUGUCUCCAAAAAGGUCACAGAAGAGCCGUCACCCUCUAAGUGCCAAGACGAGUGUCCCACCCUCCGGUGCCAGACGACUGGGAACAGAUCCUCAGAGCCCCAGAUGUUCGCUGUAGCACACAGCCCAGCUGACUGCGCUGACAGGCUCUGGGGCAGGGAUUGUUUCAUCAGGAAGUGCUGCCUGUUCAGUACCUUUAUGUUGCCACCUCUUGCCGUCGCCUGGGCUAUUUUUAAAUCCUUAAAGAAAGCGUCUACAGUGGAGAAGAAAGGAGCCUCCUUGCAGAGGAACACAGAGCCACCACACUGACGAGGAAACUGUUUUCCCUUGUCUGUCAAAUCAGCUCAUUUAGAUUAUUUAAGUCGAGAGCAAUUUUGCAAACAAUCUGUUUUGCCGGGGACAGCGGCUCCGCUCGGUGUGACGAUGCUGAAUGGAGCGAGCGGCUGCGAGUUAUUGAUGGCAAAUUCUCCACGUCCCCAGGCCCGAGCUCCUCCUGAGACAGCCCCAGCUCUGCUUUCCCCAGACAUGAGGCAGAAAGCAUUUUCUAACAUGUCGGCUCCCUUUGCCUUGAGAGCGAACUGCAGCUGACGGGGAAGGGUGGAGGGGAUGGGAACGCUGAAAUGGCGCCAGCUCCUCUUUAACUGUUUUCAGCCAGUGCAUUUCCCUGCCUGCUGCAGUUGGUUCCCUUGCUCUGAUGAUAUGAAAAUCCUAAUUAAGCAGCGAAUGGGGAGGUGUGCCAGGCUGGCAGGGUGCAGGUGGUGGCUGCUGUUGCUGGGAGAGGGUAUUUGGGGAUCAGUGCCCAGGAGGGCAUGUUUGCCCAGUGGUGAAAGUGUAACUGCACGGGUCCAGCCCUGAGCGCAGGCCUGCUGUUUGCCCUUGAGGAGCUGCUUCCAUGAUUCCUGGUUUCUGAUGCCAUGUGUGAGCAGAGUGCUGCAGAGCCGUGCAAACCCAUGCAGGGCAGGACAGCAGUGCCAGCGUGAGGAGGGAGCAUCGCAGGGACACGAGCUGGUUCCUCCCUGCACACGCUGCCCAGAGUGCUCCUUCCCACCCAGGAGCACAGCGGUCCUGGGGCAGGGGGCCCAUGAGGAAGAGAAGCCCUGACUUUCCACAGAUGGGAAGAUUACACAGAUUUAUCUACCCUUCAGCUGGAAGCAGCUCCAAAGCCAGGUGGUUAUCAACAUCAUUUUAAGCACAGAGGUGUUUUGCUGUCCCUUUGCUGGAAGAAUCAGAAUUUGAGUCCUUGGCAAAGAAGUCCAGAGGUCCAAGCCUCAGAGAGCACCAAGGGACAAAGAAUGAACCAAAGAACUGUGGUAAGCAGGAGAGAAGGUCCUCCAGCACCCCAGUUCCCAAAUAACUCCACGCUCAGCACAUAUUAAGGCUAAGGCCAGGAGUGGUUAACACCUGAGUGCUGCUGCCAGCCAGCACCCACUACCCCUGCUUUGGAUGAUGGGCUGCUGCCUGGCUGAAGCUCAAUCUGCUGCUCCUUCUAGAAGAAAACAUUCUUCCUAUUUGAAGAUUCCUGAAUUUCCCUAGUCCUUCUAGGAAUUCACCAGUGUGGAUUUCACACAUGUCAGAACUCAGCUGAGCAAAGUGCUGCUUGUGAGGGGUAAGAUCGUGAGGUGAUGCAAGGAGGAGGUGAUGGGGUCAGUGGUGGAGGGGUGGUUCCUGCAGAGGCUUUGCUGACGGUGUGGACCCAGCUGCAGCUCUUGCAUGCAGAAAGAAAGGCACUGCUGCAGCGGUCUAGUUGCUAGGAACACGUGCAUAAAUAACACCAGAGAACAAUCUAAAAUAAUAAAGCAAGCUCCAGACCUUGACUAUGAAUUUUAUUGACAGUGGCACAAUACAGUUAACAAACUGACAUAACAGGAGUACAUAAUGAAUUCAUCAGCCUUCCCAACUGAGGACAGACUUAACAGCAGCCCUCCUACACCACGUGUAGUGCCUCCAAAGAGACAUGAAACAGGGCUGCUGUGAAUGGAGCAGCGAGAGAGAGCUGAGUCACACUUCAGGAAAUAAUGGCUUUCAGUUACACACAAUUACAUGACAGUCCAAACUUUUUCAUAUGAAGAAAAAUAAACAAGACCAAAUUAACUUACAAGUUGUUACGAGGCACCGAGGAACUGAUUUCAAACUGCCACUUUACGGCUGUGCCUGUUCAGCUCACAGCGAUGCACUCUGCAUUGCUGAGCCUCUAAGGACAAAAAUACAUUCACUGACCACUCUCAUUGCCAUAAACCUUGCCUCUCAUACUGGAGGAUCUUCUUCAGCUGGAAAUCACUGUGCUUCGCUCAUGCUGGCAGAAGGACAGGGGAUGCUGCAGCAGAUUUCCUGGGACAAUGGCUCCUGCGCCCAGGGCACCCGUUUGUCUCACAGUGGAAUCAAACAGCAUUCCUUUUCUCACCAGCAUUGGUAAAAACAGCAAAGGCCAAAAACUGGGCUGGAAAAUGCUGGUGCCAAUGUGCAGCUGGGGUCAGGAGAGAGCAAGAACUUCCCCAUGGCAACAAAACCUUGAUGGGAGUGUUUGUCAGCUGCAGAAGCAUUUACUGGGAAUUACUCGGUCCACUCUCGGUUUUGUGUGUUCCUGACAUUACCGCUCCCAAUUCCAACCCAUUAUCAGUCCUUUGACUGGUUUGAUGUUACUAAUUCCUGUGAUUUGUUAUUGAAGCCUAGUCCAGUAACAGAGUGUGGAUCACGUACUCCUCACUCCUAAUUUCCUGUAUUUGAAGUAUCUCUGUGUGUUUUGGAUUAAGCUCCAUGUUCACAUAUAUCGAUCUCUCA